CCUUCGGGAACUCUGACACAGGUGCUGCAUGGCUGUCGUCUAGCUCGUGUCGUGAGAUGUUGGGUUAAGUCCGUACGAGCGCAACCCUUGUCCUUAGUUACCAGCACGUUAUGGUGGGCGACUCUAAGGAGACUGCCGGUGACAACCGGAGGAAGGUGGGGAUGACGUCAAGUCAUCAUGGCCCUUACGGCCUGGGCUACACACGUGCUACAAUGGUCGGUACAAAGGGUUGCCAAGCCGCGAGGUGGAGCUAAUCCCAUAAAACCGAUCGUAGUCCGGAUCGCAGUCUGCAACUCGACUGCGUGAAGUCGGAAUCGCUAGUAAUCGUGAAUCAGAAUGUCACGGUGAAUACGUUCCCGGGCCUU
rnacentral:rRNA from 1 species